AGAGUUUGAUCCUGGCUCAGGACGAACGCUGGCGGCGUGCUUAACACAUGCAAGUCGAACGGAAAGGCCCUUCGGGGUACUCGAGUGGCGAACGGGUGAGUAACACGUGGGUGAUCUGCCCUGCACUUUGGGAUAAGCCUGGGAAACUGGGUCUAAUACCGAAUAUGACCAUGCGCCUCCUGGUGUGUGGUGGAAAGCUUUUGCGGUGUGGGAUGGGCCCGCGGCCUAUCAGCUUGUUGGUGGGGUAAUGGCCUACCAAGGCGACGACGGGUAGCCGGCCUGAGAGGGUGACCGGCCACACUGGGACUGAGAUACGGCCCAGACUCCUACGGGAGGCAGCAGUGGGGAAUAUUGCACAAUGGGCGCAAGCCUGAUGCAGCGACGCCGCGUGAGGGAUGACGGCCUUCGGGUUGUAAACCUCUUUCAGCACAGACGAAGCGCAAGUGACGGUAUGUGCAGAAGAGGGACCGGCCAACUACGUGCCAGCAGCCGCGGUAAUACGUAGGGUCCGAGCGUUGUCCGGAAUUACUGGGCGUAAAGAGCUCGUAGGUGGUUUGUCGCGUUGUUCGUGAAAACUCACAGCUUAACUGUGGGCGUGCGGGCGAUACGGGCAGACUUGAGUACUGCAGGGGAGACUGGAAUUCCUGGUGUAGCGGUGGAAUGCGCAGAUAUCAGGAGGAACACCGGUGGCGAAGGCGGGUCUCUGGGCAGUAACUGACGCUGAGGAGCGAAAGCGUGGGGAGCGAACAGGAUUAGAUACCCUGGUAGUCC
rnacentral:rRNA from 1 species